ensembl:lncRNA
CCCAGGCCCCGGGCCGCGGAAAGCCUCGCGUCCUAUUGGCUGCAGGAGGGAGGACGGCGCGGGGCGGAGCGCUGAUUGGUCGCCGGGCGAUGCUGCGACCCGCCCCUCGGGGGUCGCGUGACGCCAGGUGGACGGGGGCUCGUGCCCCGGCGGGCGCUGAGGUGGUUCUGGCGGUCGGGGGGUGUUGUCGUGCUGCUCAGCACAGCUUUCGUUCCUCUGUACUCGGCGGAGUUUUUAUGCGUUGCCCUCAGGUGGGAUGAAUUUGACUGCAACAAAAGUCCACUGAGAUGCGUCAGUGUUUCUCGAAGGCUCUUAAUCUCUUAUAACUUCCUCUCCUUUUGGGGGCAGAGCUCCCAUCAGUGCGUACCGCACUGCAGCUGAUGGCGUUCACCCUCUGACACUUUGUUUCUGCUCGAUGUAACGCGAGGGUUUGGGGCGCCGCAGAACUACGUGGUUUCACGGCAUUGUUUUUAGUUUAGAUCGGCAAAUCGUUAACAAUUACUUCCUGCUCAUCCGUAUCUUCGGAGUCUGGGGACGAGAUCCUUCCUCUUGCGAUCCAUCGGCACCUGAAGGAUCUCUGAAAGGAAACCGGUGGAACGUGUGAGGGCUUCCUCUGGCGGAAAAGAACAAGACGAAAUAAGACACUAGGGAAGCUAAUGUGAGACACUAGUGCCCAAAUCACUUUAGACACGACUGAUAUGGCUGAUGAGGAGAAUCCAGCUGUCAUAGAGGUCCGUAUGUGAGGAAAACAGCCACCUUCAGGAACAAUGACAAGGGUCUGGCAGGCAGCAGAUCCUUUUGGUUCAGAAACUGAUUCAUACUCACAGCACAACUGAAAGCGAGCUAAGUGCACUGAGAUGUUUGAAGAUGUCCUCAGCCAUCUUCAGCCUGAAGCACCACUGAGACCCGCAGCUGCUGCAGAACACAAUGAAGCUACCAGAGAUGCUAAUGGAGGAGCUGAAGGGUUCAUAGGCAGAAAGCAAGGGGUGUGCUGUGGAGCCUACAACCAUGGAUUGCAGGAGUGCGUUUCUUAAAGCCAACAGAAUGGCAUCUUUUUUGAUGGGAAUAUAACAGUGGGACUUCAAAGCAUGACCAGCGCCCAGCGUUCAAAACAGCAUGCGUAAGGCCAGACACAAACUGUGAGACUAUCUUUAAGUCAUUAAAAAGAUCUAGAAUUAGUCAUAUUUGCCCUUUAUUUCUGAGCCUUUCAUGUUUCCUUGCUUUUGUGUUUUCAUUCUUUCCUUUCCCAGGAGCAGGAUACAACUUCAAGGGGGAGGAGAAACAAAGAGGACACCUGGGUUUGGGGUGCUGGGCCUCUGCGCCAUGCACCAAGAGCCACCAAGUCCAGAGAGCCAGCAGACUGUGAGACCCAGAGACUUUCAGCGUUUCAGCAGUGCUGCCAUGGGGGAAACACCACCAGAAUCAGAAGUUACAAGUGGGGCAAGUCACCCCUUUGAAAUUCUGUAACACGGCACAGCUACUUUGUUCUGCUGUCUUUAAAUACUUUGCUUCUGUUAAUGAGACUAUUUUAACUACAAAUUAAAUCAGAACCUCCUGAUGGAGCAGAAUCAAGGAGCAAAUGCAGCACUGAAUGGCUCAAGCAGCACAGAC